AAAAAGGCCCUUUUCAGGGCCAGAAAAUAAUGUAAUAGGAAAGCUUU
rfam:Stegodyphus mimosarum contig114262, whole genome shotgun sequence.